AGCAGACGUGGUGGCAUGCCCCUGUAGUUCCAGCUACUCGGGAGGUUAAGACAGGAGGAUCGCUUGAUCCAGGAGUUCUGGGCUGUAGUGUGCUAUGCCGAUCAGGUGUCCACACUAUGUUUGGCAUCAAUAUGGUGACCUCCAGGGAGCAGGGGACCACCAGGUUGCCUUAGGAGGGGUGAACCUGCCCAGGUCGGAAAUGGAGCAGGUCAAAGCUCCCGUGCUGAUCAGUAGUGGGAUCACACCUGUGACUAGCCACUGCACUCCAGCCUGGGCAACAUAGCGAGAACUUGUCUCUU
rfam:Otolemur garnettii contig130140, whole genome shotgun sequence.